rnacentral:sRNA from 1 species
AAAUUUUAAAAAACAGACAUAUAAUACUCAAUCGAUAAAAAAAGUAAGUGUACAAGGUCCCACAUUACUUAAAAAAAUGGGAAAUCGUUUAGAGUCAUACUAUAAAAAGAACAAAAUGAUUCUGAAUACGAAUGAACAAGAACUUUGAUAUAUCAGACAUCCAAAAUUAAAAUUGUUAUUCGGUAUACCUCUUGAAUAUGUUAUUUAUAU